AUGCUUGUCGGUUGGGCCAUCUGGAAUGAGAGGAACGCUAGAGUUUUUAGGAAGAAAUCAACGCCCCCCUUCUACAUUCUAAAACUAAUCCAAAAUGAAGCCAAACUUUGGGUCACGGCAGGAGCUACGCACCUGAGCAUUAUCAUGCCGCGAGAGUAG
rnacentral:rRNA from 1 species